GUCUUUGUGGAGCAAUGAAACUCGCUCCUGCGUCUUUAAAUCGGUCAGCCCAUAUGGGGAGGAGAGUCGGUGGUUCGAAUCCACUCGAAGACA